CUUUGCGUGCUCUCCGUUUGCGUCGUCGGGCGAUAGGGACGGCGUCUGCUCGGUCGAGCCUGACCGGAAUUCGCAAUGGGAGCGAGCCGGAAGCUCCAAGCGGAGAUCGACCGCGUGCUCAAGAAGGUCCAGGACGGCGUCGAGGUCUUCGACGGCAUUUGGAACAAGGUUUACGACACGGACAAUGCGAACCAGAAGGAGAAGCUGGAGGCGGACUUGAAGAAGGAGAUUAAGAAGCUGCAGAGGUACCGCGACCAGAUUAAGACGUGGACACAGUCGAGUGAGAUCAAGGAUAAGAAGGUUAGUGCCUCUUAUGAGCAGUCUCUGGUGGAUGCCCGAAAACUCAUCGAGCGUGAAAUGGAGAGAUUUAAGAUCUGCGAGAAGGAAACAAAGAUGAAAGCAUUCUCUAAAGAAGGCCUUGGUCAACAACCUAGAACUGAUCCAAAGGAGAAAGCUAAGUCAGAGACAAGGGAUUGGAUAAACAAUGUGGUUGGUGAGUUGGAAACCCAGAUCGAUGUUUUCGAAGCCGAGAUUGAGGGGCUUUCUGUAAAGAAAGGAAAGACAAGGCCUCCUAGACUGACACAUUUGGAGACAUCCAUUGCUCGUCAUAAGGCUCAUAUUAUGAAGUUGGAAUUGAUUUUGAGGCUGCUGGAUAAUAAUGAAUUGAGUCCUGAGCAAGUUAAUGAUCUCAAAGACUUUUUGGAUGACUAUGUGGAACGAAAUCAGGAUGACUUUGAUGAAUUUGGUGAUGUGGAUGAGUUUUAUAACUCAUUACCACUGGAGAAGGUGGAAGCUCUUGAAGAGCUGGUUACCCUUGGUCCUCCUGGUCUCUUGAAGGGGACGCCAGUUCUGAGCUUGAAGAGUUCUCCAAUGGCAGCAGCACCUCACCUGGCGGCUACUACUACAACUGCUCAUCAACAAGAAGGUUCCUUGGUCCAAGAGGAAGUUGAAGACACAAGCUCUAAAGAUGCCAAUUCAGAUAAUAGUGCAGGACUUGGGCCAACCAAAGCUAGUACCAUAACUUUUGCCGUUUCAACACCUAUGGAAAUUCAUGCUGAUUCUGUUACAUCAAACAUUCUUUCUCAUAGCCCACCUGGUGUAUCAACUGCUUCAACAGUUCUUCCUGGUUCCACUCAAGUUUGUGGUGUCCUGGAAAGUGCAGGUCCUGCCAAUUCAUCUACUUUAAAUUUUUCUACUACAGGCAAGGAGGAAGAAGAUGUGACCUUCUCGGGUCGCCAACCGUCUCCCUCUCUUAAUGAGACUGAGAUUUUGAAUGGAAUGGUUGGGGGUGCUCUAGCCAGUCAAUUGUCAUCUAGUAUGACUCCAGCCGACAUGCUUCCUGGUAGUGGAACCAAUAUUGUGCCCCCUUAUACUUCGGACAUAGCAAAGAGGAAUAUUUUAGAAGCUGAGGAAAGACUUGGAAGUAGUGGAACAAUGCAGUCUCUAGUGUCCCCAUUGGACAAUAGAAUCAUCUUACCUCAGGGGCUGCAGGCCAAUGAAGUAACUGGAUAUGUUGAUUCUGGUAGUGGUGCUGAGGGUGCAUCUCUGGCUGGCAGGAUUUUUUCACCUCCUUUAGUUACUGGCAUGGAGUGGAGGCCUGGAAGUUCUUUUAACCAGAAUCAAUUGGGGUACACCCGCAGGAGAACUGAAAUAGCCCCUGAUCAAAGGGAGAGAUUUUUACAGCGUUUUCAGCAAAUGCAGCAACAAGGUCACAGCGUCGUUUUGGGCAUGCCUUUCUUGGCUGGAGGAAAUCAGAAGCAGUUUUCUGCACGACAGCAAGGCCCACCCUUGCAGCAGUUCAAUUCUCAAAGCUCAUCCAUCUCUCCGCAAGUCAGUGUAGGGAUUGGAUUACAAAUGCCAGGUCUGAACACUGUAUCUGACUUGGCUCUGCAACGACAACUGGGUUCCAUCCAUCAACAGUUUAGUCAGCUAUCUCUUGCACUUUCAGGUCCAAGAGAUUCUGAAGUUAGCAAUGGGAAAAUUCUGGAGCAGCCGGGGGAGCAGAAUCUACCCAAUUAUUCAGGUGCUGAUUCUGCUGUUCGGUCUGGAGUGGGCAAGAAUACAAUGAAUGAGGAUGAUCUGGUAUUCCCACAAGCAUCAGAUGCUGGAUUGGUGGACUCUUUUGCGGAGCCUGCUCAGGUUCCUAGAGAUACUGACGUAUCCCCUGGGCAACCUCAUCGGCCCACUCUACCUUCUCGAAAGCUUGGAUUUAUUGGGAGAAGAAGUAUUUCUGACCUUGGUGCUGUUGGUGAUAAUUUUGGCUCAUCCAAUUUCAGUUAUGGAGGCUAUCAUAAUCAGAUACACAAUCAUGCAAUGCUUGAGGCUGCGUUUUAUAAGCUUCCUCAACGAAAGGACUCAGACAGGAGGCGCCCUGUUGACACGCCUCCUAGCUUUCCUCAAGUGCAGGCGCCCAUCGUGAAGACAAAUGCUUUUUGGGAACGAUUAGGCAGGGAACCUUGUUCUGUUGAUACCCUUUUCUUUGCAUUUUACUAUCAACAGAAUACUUAUCAACAAUGUAUGGCUGCAAAAGAGUUGAAGAAGCAAUCGUGGAGAUAUCACAAGAAACACAACACGUGGUUUAAGAGGCAUGAUGAGCCAACAGUAGCCACAGGUCAAUAUGAACAGGGGAGUUACAUUUAUUUUGACUUUAAUGCUUCAGAAGACGAUACGCAGCCUGGAUGGUGCCAGAGGAUCAAGAAGGACUUCACAUUUGACUAUCGUUACCUUGAAGAAGACCUAGUGUUAUAAGUGACCUGUAGAUUCUGCUGCAGUGGUUAUGAACCCUGACUUCAUUGUUCGUACCAUACUAAUUAUACUGUGCAGAUAGCCAGAAACUUCCUGUGUACUCAUGUGCAUAACAAUCCGCAAUCCGGUUGCAGGUUUACUGCUACAUUGAGAUUCUUAGCUUUCUCCUCUUUCCUUGGACCAUUUGAGUUUCUCCGGAUGCUGAAAUGUCAUCCAUUUUCACAGAAACUAGUAUCCUCAUCUCUGGACCGUUCUGUACAUUUGAUCUCCGUGUCCUUAUGCAUUUAUAUGACAGAAUAGUUUUACCAGUUACCCUCACCUUUAACUUUCUCUGGACCUCUUGAAUUUGAGGGAGAAACUUUUCUGCU